GCUUCAGAUCUCAGCAGCCUGAAUCCCCGAGUCACCACGGGGAGGACUUGCCCGACUCACACGGAAGCCGUGGCUGUAUCGAGUGGGGGGUCUUGCCCCCCAACAGCAAUCCCAGUCCGCCUGACCCACACAUCCUCUCCCCAGUGAUCCAGGCCAAAUGGAGUAUGGAGCACACCCUGUGGGAUAGGCAGGCCCAGUUCUCCAUCUUCUUCACAAACAGUGAGUGCUGACCAGAGGCCACACCAGGGCAGAAGCUGGAUGGAGGCAGCUGAGCCCCGUCCUUCCCGGAAAGAUGGAGUCUAGUGACCGACGAAGGCCGGACAGUGCAGCCCUCCCCACAGUGCCAGCCGAACGGGCCCCUUGUGUGUCAGACCUUCCCACGGGUCACACGGCCCCAUGGGGCCUGCACCGCACGUCAGCCCUACCCGCUUCCCUUCACACGCACGGGUCCUAAACAUCUUCACACCCAUAUCGGUCCCAAUUCUGCUUCCAGAGACAUCUGAAGAUGUGGCACCGUUUGACGAGAAACCCAAACCUCUCGCAACAGUGGGAUUCCUCCCCCAUCCCUACGUCUCACGCUGCCGUCCUCACAUGUUCUGUGACUCAGACCCCACGAAGCUCAUGAUGCUGGACACGCACGCGUGCAGAUUUGCCGUUUAAAAGAGAUGACGAGGAGAGGACAGGCUCCUUGCUUACCUGCACGGCCACACGUGGGCUGUUGCCACCCUACCCUUUGGCGAGUUCCUUACCUUGUGCAGAUCACGCAGCUGUAGCACGUUUUGUCAUGCGGCUCCUAGGACUGCAAAUUUUCUCAGUUUCAUUUACUUCAAAGCACUUUUAUUUCACCUUCACCUUCACUCUGAGGAUUUCUUGCUGGAUUUGGAGCGGUGGGGCGGCUCCUCGCUUUCAUUCCUCUGCCCCCCGCCCUCCGCCCUCCGCCCCCCGCCCUCCGCCCUCCGCCCUCCGCCCUCCGCCCUCUGCCCUCUGGUUUUUGAUGAGGAGGCACCGGCAUUCGGCACCUCUGGCCGCCCUUUUCUCCGGCUUCUCCCAAAUUUUCUUCGGUUUUCAGCAGUUUGACUGUGCUGUGCCUACAUGUGAGUUUCUAUUCAUCCUGUCUGAAGUUAGCCAAACUUCUUGUGUCUAUAAAUUGAUGCUUUUCACUA